GGAGAGAUACCGAAGUGGUCAUAACGGAACGGUCUUGAAAACCGUCGUACCUUUACGGGUACCGUGGGUUCGAAUCCCACUCUCUCCGCCA
rnacentral:tRNA from 1 species